CCCGCUCAGAAACUCAAAGGAAUUGACGGGGCCCGCACAAGCGGUGGAGCAUGUGGUUUAAUUCGAUGAUACGCGAGGAACCUUACCUGGGCUCAAAUGUAUGUUGACGUAUUCUGAAAGGGAUACUUCUUCGGACAAUAUACAAGGUGCUGCAUGGUUGUCGUCAGCUCGUGCCGUGAGGUGUCGGGUUAAGUCCCAUAACGAGCGCAACCCCUAUCAUUAGUUGCCAUCAGGUCAAGCUGGGGACUCUAAUGAGACUGCCAUCGUAAGAUGUGAGGAAGGUGGGGAUGACGUCAAAUCAGCACGGCCCUUACGUCCGGGGCGACACACGUGUUACAAUGGGUGGUACAAAGGGCAGCUACCUGGCGACAGGAUGCUAAUCUCGAAAACCGCUCUCAGUUCGGAUCGGAGUCUGCAACUCGACUCCGUGAAGCUGGAUUCGCUAGUAAUCGCGCAUCAGCCACGGCGCGGUGAAUACGUUCCCGGGCCUU
rnacentral:rRNA from 1 species